GUUUGUAUCAAGCGUUAAUGCAUUGGAUCCCAAUAUAACUCUGCAGAUAAGCAUGCUCAGGUUAGAGUAGUACUGGGAUGGGUGACCACUCGAGAAGUCCUAGUGUUUUACAUGCC
rnacentral:rRNA from 1 species